rnacentral:rRNA from 1 species
UACAGAGGUGGCAAGCGUUGUUCGGAAUUACUGGGCGUAAAGGGCGCGUAGGCGGCCUUCUAAGUCGGACGUGAAAGCCCCAGGCUUAACCUGGGAACUGCGUCCGAUACUGGGAGGCUUGGAUUCGGGAGAGGGAUGUGGAAAUCCAGGUGUAGCGGUGAAAUGCGUAGAUAUCUGGAGGAACACCGGUGGCGAAGGCGGCAUCCUGGACCGAGAUCGACGCUGAGGCGCGAAAGCUAGGGGAGCAAACGGG